GGCUAAAUACUCCUGACUGACCGAUAGUGAACCAGUACCGUGAGGGAAAGGCGAAAAGAACCCCGGCGAGGGGAGUGAAAAAGAACCUGAAACCGUGUACGUACAAGCAGUGGGAGCACGCUUAGGCAUGUGACUGCGUACCUUUUGUAUAAUGGGUCAGCGACUUAUAUUCUGUAGCAAGGUUAACCGAAUAGGGGAGCCGAAGGGAAACCGAGUCUUAACUGGGCGUUAAGUUGCAGGGUAUAGACCCGAAACCCGGUGA
rnacentral:rRNA from 1 species